rnacentral:lncRNA from 1 species
CGUGACAAGGUUAAUUAUUGCAACCAAACUUAGUCAGAAGUUUUUCUCUUAUCUGUGGGAUCGAUCCGUGGAAGUUUUGAGUAGUUUUUUCUGAAGUAAGAUUUAGGUGACAGACAUCGACGACUCGCGGAGUUUGUUACUAUGAAAGUGAUACUUGAAUUCUUACGAAAUCUUAGGCUUCAGAAAACAUUUUAGCUCCCGUUUUUCUUUAUUUAGUCUUCGUCAACCGUUUUAGGUUUCAAGUGAUUCUAUAGAAAUCAACUUCGUUUCUCUGAAAGUUAUUUGGAAGCAGUACAGCUGCGGGGGCUUCAUAACCGAUUUGAUGCGCUUCCUUUUUCUGUGAUUAAUCUAAGGUUUUUCCGAAAGAUAUUCGAAAGAAGUACAGCGGUGAGUUAUGUACCCGAUUUGCGGUGCUUCCUUUUUCCGCGAUUAACCUAUGGUUUUCCUUCGGUUUUGGAGAGAACAAGUUUUAAUUUUCCGAAAAGUUUUCGGAAAACGUGUUUUGGUAAAACCCUUACGCAUUGAGACUUCUUUAGCUCGGCAAUGAGCCAAACUUACAGGGUUUGAUAAAAUUUAUCGUUUUCCUUUAUGUUUAGACAGAGAAAUCGCGAGCUCGUUUCGUAGCACUUCUUGUGGCGAAAAGUCGCGGCUAGGUUUUCGAUUUUUUCAAGCACUACGGGGUUUUCGUAAGGGUUGGCCAUAGGAACAGUCGCUGCUGUAGUUGUUUUACCAGCAUUGUUUUGAACUGCGAUUUUGUCUUUCGUAAUCCGUACCCCUCCUCCUGCUAGCGCCAAACUGUGAGAAUCGAAAUUCACACUGUCGAUUUUCGUACUCGGAGGAAAGUCAGGAAACCCUAACUUUCCCUGAGGUCCCGGAUUCUCUGCAAGAGCCAACGACAAGUGACCAAAUAAAUGCGAAAAAUAUGAAAAGAUAACAAAACAAAUUUAUAGAACGGUAGAUCUUAUUUGGAAUCCGAGUAAGGGCGUUGCGAUCAUUACAAGAGACUAUAAAAGCUUCGGCCGUAGGAGCUGUCAGCGAGUUAACUAGUUCUAGCAACCUAAAACCAUAAACCUAGUUGAGUAGCAGCUCGAUAACAGAAGACGAAAAAGAUAUGAAAAUGGUUCUGAUUGAUUUCGGACUGAACCUUAUGAAAUGCUGCUUACGUACCCCUUUCGAGGAUCAAGCCGAACGUAGUUCAAGAGUGAACCAAGAGAUCGAACUGCUUGUGCGCGUUUGUCUGGUAAUCGGGUGCCAUUCAUAGAAACAGGGCAUGUCGAGAAUAAUGUUUCAAAGUUUCUAAGUGCCGAGAGUUCUCAUUUUAUGCCUCUCGCCUAGGACUCCUUAUAUACUCCCUCCAAGUUCGGUUUGAGCUUUCCUCUUCUACCCUUAAGCCGUCAUAACUCAAAAAUGGAGAUAUUCUAUUUUUCUCGAUCUUCAUGAUUAUCCGCGGAAACUUAACAUUUAUCUGCGGAAAUUUGACAUUUAUCUUUUCUUGGGGAUUGGGUACAAACCGCCAAAGUAUCUAUGGGCUUUUCCUUAAAAAAAUCGUAAGUGGGUUUCUAAUCACGUUUGAGACCUAUUUAGGCCGUCUUUCAAUUCGAAACGUUUAUUACGAUUUUUAUCGAUAAAAAUAAACUUUCCGCGAUUUUUAUCGUAAAGUUUAAGUGAUAACUCCAAUUGAUGGGAAGUGAGAAAUAAUAUGGCUGCGGUUCAUGGGACAUAGUAUUGAGGAACAGGUGAGAAUGCACGGAUUUGGGUCGCUACGUAGUGACCGACUCGUUCGUGGAUCGGUCGCUACAUAGUGGCCGCGGUCACUACGUAGCGACCGACUCGUUUGUGGACCGGUCACCACGUAGCGACCGACCGAAUGGCUUGGUCGGUCGCUACGUAGCGACCGACACGUUCGCGGACCGGUUGCUACGUAGCGACCUUGUUUGGAUCCUUUUCUGACAAUUUACGAACGUGUUCUUGGACUAUGGGUGUUUAGUUUCGAUGAAUCAACUGAGAUUAGUGCAAGAUUUCACCGCAAAGUUCUUCGUAAAGAUUUACUUUUCGUAAAAAUGUUCAUGCUGAUUUGGAUGUUAACUUUGUCGUGUCCGUUUUUGGCCCCAAAAAUAUUAAUAACUCAUCGUAUAAUCUUUUCAAUAAAAAUUAUACGAAAUUCACAAAUCGAUAAAUAUUUUUCGGGGAGUUUUAGACAUUGAUUCCGUCGUGACCGAUUUUGACCCCAACACUGGUUGGUUUGCAAGUUGCACACUGCUCUCACUGUUGACAAGAAAGCUCUCCCAAGUAGUAGAGAAGAGAUCCAAUUUAACUUAAUGUCCAAGACAUGGAAAUCAACUGGAUCUAGGGCAUUACCAAUCUGCACCUCAAGGUCUCUCACAAUUCCUCCUGAGUUCCUCUGUGAAAAAUCCACAAAAGUGAACAAUUCAUGCGAAGACUCCACCUGCAGACCCAGAUGGUCCGCCAUAACCCUAGGUAGGAUGCUGACUGAUGCUCAUGUGUCGCACAAGGCAUGUGGGAACUCAAUACCCUUCACCGUGCAUGGUAUUGCAAAUUGCCCAGGAUCACUCUUCUUCUUCAAUGUAAUCCUCAUCCUCAUUUUUUCUCUAGCUUCACAGAACAUUCUCCUGAUGUCUUCUUCUUUCUCUCUGGUUUCUCUGAAGAACGUCCACAAUCUGUGGUAUAAUAAGCCUCUUCGAAUGGCUUAUGUAGAAGAAUCCUGAAGACUCUCUUGUGGAAAUUUUCUUUUUCCUUUUCAUUAGCCCCCCUCUUCAGAUGUUUCGCCACUUUUUCCUUUCUUCUUCUUAGGAUUCUUCCAGUAGGAACCCUAUCCUCUUCCAUAGGAUCCUCUCCAUCAUCUGAAGGUGUCCUGACGGGCUCUGGUGGGUAUUCUGAAGGUUUGGGUUUGGGCCUGAGUGCAUUAAGUCAUGCAACAUCUAUCUUCGGCAUCUGCACUCGGUAGGUAAUAGGGGCUCGUCGAUCGAUAGGGGUUAGAGUUUGUCGACCGAUGUUGGCCUCUAAGUGUCGAUCGAUGUUGUUGUUGGCAUGUCGAUCAAUUAGGGCGUUAAAAGGGCUGGGCAGAUGUGGGUGUUUUGCCGCGAACUCCUCGUGAGUUAGAAUCUUCACGGCAUUGCAAGACACGGUUGACUCUGUAGGCGUCGUCGAUCGAUGCUCUGGAGUUCCUGUCGAUUGAUUUGGACUGGUGUAUGUCGAUCGAUGUUCGGGGUCUGGCGUCGAUCGACACCAUUGCGAUCCGCCGAAACUCAUCAAACUUUCUACCUCGAAAUAUCCUUCUUGCAGCUUCUCUUCCUUUACCAGUUGCCAAAAGUCAUCCUCAAUGAUGGCAUUCACGUGGUGUUUCAUCACAUCAUCCCCCACUCCUCUUGUUGAGGCUUCCUGCCUCUUAACAGCCUCUCCUGUCUGCACAAUCUGCAUCUCCAUCUUCUUCACAUGAGUUCUCAAAGUCUCGAACUUUAUGUUCGGGUUGGUGUAGACAGAAUCUAUCUUCCCAUUGAAGUCCACUGUCAUUCGCUGUUGUGCCUCAAGAACCCUAUCGAGCAUCUCUUCAAUCUUGCUCUCUUGAGUAGGCGGCCGUGGCUUCUGGUAGUAGGAACUUCCACUAGCUUCACAGAACAUUCUCCUGAUGUCUUCUUCUUUCUCUCUGGUUUCUCUGAAGAACGUCCACAAUCUGUGGUAUAAUAAGCCUCUUCGAAUGGCUUAUGUAGAAGAAUCCUGAAGACUCUCUUGUGGAAAUUUUCUUUUUCCUUUUCAUUAGCCCCCCUCUUCAGAUGUUUCGCCACUUUUUCCUUUCUUCUUCUUAGGAUUCUUCCAGUAGGAACCCUAUCCUCUUCCAUAGGAUCUUCUCCAUCAUCUGAAGGUGUCCUGACGGGCUCUGGUGGGUAUUCUGAAGGUUUGGGUUUGGGCCUGAGUGCAUUAAGUCAUGCAACAUCUAUCUUCGGCAUCUGCACUCGGUAGGUAAUAGGGGCUCGUCGAUCGAUAGGGGUUAGAGUUUGUCGACCGAUGUUGGCCUCUAAGUGUCGAUCGAUGUUGUUGUUGGCAUGUCGAUCAAUUAGGGCGUUAAAAGGGCUGGGCAGAUGUGGGUGUUUUGCCGCGAACUCCUCGUGAGUUAGAAUCUUCACGGCAUUGCAAGACACGGUUGACUCUGUAGGCGUCGUCGAUCGAUGCUCUGGAGUUCCUGUCGAUUGAUUUGGACUGGUGUAUGUCGAUCGAUGUUCGGGGUCUGGCGUCGAUCGACACCAUUGCGAUCCGCCGAAACUCAUCAAACUUUCUACCUCGAAAUAUCCUUCUUGCAGCUUCUCUUCCUUUACCAGUUGCCAAAAGUCAUCCUCAAUGAUGGCAUUCACGUGGUGUUUCAUCACAUCAUCCCCCACUCCUCUUGUUGAGGCUUCCUGCCUCUUAACAGCCUCUCCUGUCUGCACAAUCUGCAUCUCCAUCUUCUUCACAUGAGUUCUCAAAGUCUCGAACUUUAUGUUCGGGUUGGUGUAGACAGAAUCUAUCUUCCCAUUGAAGUCCACUGUCAUUCGCUGUUGUGCCUCAAGAACCCUAUCGAGCAUCUCUUCAAUCUUGCUCUCUUGAGUAGGCGGCCGUGGCUUCUGGUAGUAGGAACUUCCAUAAUUCAUGUUGUUGUUGUAGCUGUUGUUGUAGGGUUUCUGGUACUGUGAAUUUUGGUUGAAAUUACUCCUAUUUCCGUAGGAGUUUUUGUUUCCACUCUGGUUUCCAGAACCUUGGAAUCCAGUUCCACCAAUGUACACUACAGGAAAUGUGGUUAGUAAUAGCGGACGAAAAGCGCUAUCAUUUUGGUUUAAUAGCGUUUCCUUGGACGCUCUGACAUCACCCGUUAUAAAAAGUCCAACCCUUUUAAUAGCGAUUUUCCUCUGUGCUAUUACUAAGUGUAUAACAAUAGCGCUUUUGUGUUCGCAAUUGUUAGUAUUUAUAAUAACGUUUAAUAAAUGUUAUUAGAACCAAAUAAUUUGAUUUUUCCUAGUAGCAAAGAUAGCAAAUGUUUCGUGUUAUUAAUUAGUUUUAUAAUUAUCCCAAAAUUAAUUAAUAAUAAUUAUUGAAUUGAUUUUUAAAUAAUUAAUUCAAAAAUAUGAAAUAAAAACAAUAUAAAUUAUUAAAAUUCCAAAAAUCAAUAUAAUUAUUCAAAUCCCAUAACACUGUAUUAUCACAUUCAUACAAACCAUCACACAAGCAUACAACAUAUCAUCAAUCUACCACUAAUAAACUUUCACAAUCAUCCCUAACAUAUACACUAUCAUCAUCUAUAUCAUCACCCAUAUCAUCAACUUCUUGGACAGGUAAUUAACCUAAACCUAAUCUAAGCCUCUACCUGUCAACAAAAACGCUAUGAGUCAUAUAUAAUAGCGCUUCCUUAUCUGCCCAAACGCUAAACCUAAUCUAAGCCUCUACCUGUCGACAAAAAAAAAUCUAAGCCUCUGCCUACAACCCUAAUUCCUCCGCCUCUAGCCUCCAGCCUCCAGCCUCUAGCCUCCAGAGCAUCCGCCUUCAGCCUCCAGAGUGCUGUCGUCGCAUCACCACAGAAAAAACAGAGCACGAGUUAUGUUCUGUUCUUGAAUCACCAGCCCUUUGUCUUCUCGUCUCGAGCCAUGCUUCUUCUGAUAUGGAGUCGGUGGCGAGACCACCACCACCAAGCUUCUUCAGCCUCCUCCACUUUAUUUAACUAAGAACACAAACGCAAAACCAGAAUCAGAACACUAGGAUAGAGAGAGAGAGAGAGACAGAGAGUGCGAGAGAAGUUACCGGUAGAAGAUAAAAUUUUUGUCCCAAAUAAAUAAAACACACCCGCAGAGCUGUGGUUGCAACGACGAUGAACCGGGGUGGAGACGAAGACGAGGUUUGGUGGUGACAAGGCUUAGUGGUGAUGAAGAUAGAGAUUACAGAGACAAGAUCUGUGAGAUUAGGAACUGUGGUUGUAACAACGAACUGUGGUGGAGACGAAGACGAGGUUUGAAUCUUGUUGUUCUUUGUUUCAGAGAGAGAGAGAGAGAGAGAAGAAGAAAAAAGGUUAAGAAGCGUGAGAGAGAGAGAGAGAAACAAACACAAAAAGAUUUAAUCUGAACCCUUCAAAAUAUCUAAUCUAUGGUUAAGAUUAUCAAUCCACACACAAAUUUUUUUAACCAAUAGGAAAAAAUGGUGAGGAUAGAUACAAGAGUGAUUUUGGGCAUUUGAUUCAAAUCAAUCAAUGGUUUAAAAAAACAAUACAAAUUGUCUUCUUAUCUAUUUAUAGCUAUUAUAAAAAUUAUUUAAGUUUAAAAUAAUUUGGUAUAAUAAUUAAAAUUUUGAAAUCUAAAUUUUUUAUUUGAAAUUUUAAUUUAUUUACAGAAAUAUAAUUCAUUUAAAAAUUAAGAUUUAAUGUUUUAAGAUAUAUGUUAAAAUGAGAUAUGUGGUUUAGGGGUUAGGGUUAAGAUUUAGGAUUAAGUAUGUGAUUUGAGUUUUAGAAUAUACUUGGAGUUUAAAUUUAAAGUUUCUAUUAUAAGUUUGUAAAUAUUGGAUUUAUGAUUUUCUAUGUAGAGAUUAAGGUUGGGGUUUAAGGUAUUAAAUAUAGAGUGUAGAUUUUAAGAUUUAGUGUUUGAAGUUUAGGAUUUAAAUUUAAGAUUAGAUUUUUAAAAUGAAUAAAUUUUGGACCUUUGAAACUGUGUUAGAGUUUUAAUGAAGAUUAGAGUUUCAAAUUUAUUAGUGAGAGUUUAUGAUAUAUGAUUAAUUUAGGGUAUGGUAUAUAUAUGUAUGUCUAUAGUGUAGGUUUGGGGGUUUAGAUUUAAUUUUUGAAAUAAUUUUUUAAGAGUGAAUUGUGAAAAAAUAAAAUUUUGAGUUUAGAGUUUAAAGUUUGAAGUACGAUAUAAGUUUUGGAGUUUAGGGUUUUAAGUACACCAAACUCCAUAGAGUAAUAUUACACUAAAUAUAUAAACCCAUAAACUAUUAUAUAAAUAUAUUAUAACGAAACUUUAAUUAUCAUUUUUAUCCUUUAGUUUUACAUUUAUAUAUCUUGAGGUUAUAAAUAUUAGGGUUGGGGUUUAAGGCAUGUUUAGGGUUUAGAUCUUGAGGUAAAAAAUAUUAUUUUUGUUUUUUUUCUAAUUUGUUAUUAGUAUUAGAUUUUUCUUUUUUUAUCAUAUUAGUUGUUGUGUUAUCUUGUGAUUUUAUGAUGAAAUAUUUAAACUGCAAAUUGAUUUAUAACCAAAAUAUACAUUGCAUUAAAUUCAUAAAACAUACAUUUUACAUAGAAUCUACACUAACAACAUUAAAUUCUUAUACUAACAACAUAAGUCUUAUACUCAUCAGCUUCUCCAUCUUCAUUUUCCUCACCACGACCAGCGACCAUCAUCUCUUCCAAUUUUCUCUGCAAAGCUAGCUAAGUUAACAAUAUCACAAAUCAGAACUAAAGGAACACGUGCUAUAGAGGUAAGAGCUUACAGGUUCUUAACUAUGGUAAAGAUUAAUCGCCAUUCUGUUUUUAGAAUGUUUAUGUAUUCUUCCUCUUCUCCUUCUGCGCUUAUAACAGGCUUAGUUAUGCAUCAGUACACAUGAUAAAACAUAGUAAGGAGAAAAGGGUUUAAACUGAGUUAAUAGACAUUGUUUAAUCUAUAGAGCUGCCUGGCUUUCUUGUUCCAUACUCUGAACAUAAAGCAAAAAAACUUCUCAGUUUCUGGAAUUUACCUUAAGGCGCUGAAAAAUAUCUUUGAAACUUUGCACAAGCUCAGGCCACAGGCGCUCUCUUUCUGUUGAACCUAUGCCUUCAAGUUUGCUCAUGCCCUCUGCCAACAUUAUCUACCAAAAAAAAAAAAUACUUUAGAGAGAAAUCAAUUAGAAACAAAGAAACUGGUUAAUAACCUUUAAUUAAACAAAAGAAAACUGCACAUGAGAAAUCUAAUCUGAAUCUGGACUUUCUUCAUAGCAUAAAGACAGAAACUUACCAAGGAGAGAGCAGCUAGGUUGAUUGAAUAAUGAUGAAACACGGAUCUCCACCCGCACCAAUUCCAAUUGCUCCUUGUUCUGGAUCUGGACUUUCUUCAUAACAUAAGGUCCCAUCAGCUAAAAAAGAAAUCACAAUUCAGUAAUUGAAUUCCAAUUGCCACCGUCUCCAGCAUCACAGCAGUUUAGAACAGUUGUAAAAACAGUCUAGAACAAACCUGCUGCUUAGACAGCUUCUUCAAAGUUUUCUCCUUGAUAUAAGCACUAGACAAUACUUCAUCGUUUGCAGAAACCUAUAACCAUGGAAACACAAAGUGAGUAAAGCAUUCAUCUUUUUAUCUAAUCACUCGUCAAAUCACAAAUCAAGCACCAUUCAAAAAUCUGUAAUCGGAGUUGCUUUCGCAAAGUCAGAGUCUUUUCCAGUUAAAUCAUUUCAGAGUUCUUGUUUUAAGCAAAUAUCGGAUCUUUACUUGAUAACGCCUAUAAAUAUACAAACCCAACCUCGUACGAGAUACCAAAUCAAAACUGAGACAAGCAGCUCUUUAAUACUGGUUCAAGAUCAAACAAAUCAUUACAGGUAUCGAAAAAACUUGUUAAAGCUAUGAAUACAGCAUCAAAAUCAGACCCAAAAUCAGUAAGAAACAACCUGUCUGACGAUUGAUCUAAAAGUACUCACCGGAAUUGAGUCACUAACACCGGCAGGAGCUGAGGAGAUGUUAGAGGCUGCGACAAUUGUUAACAAAAUCGUAACCCUGUACCCAGAAACAGAUAAUCAAGACAAAUCAAAACCCAAACCUAAAAACCCCCAAAUCGAAACCCUAAGAAAGAAUUAAGAAGAGAAAGUGAACGACCAAUAUUGGAGGUUUGUCCGAUGGAAGCCAUGAAGAAACUGACCGGCAAACACGACGUAGUAGAGACGGAGACGAUGAGUUCGAGAGAGAGGUGAAGAAAGAGACUCCAAUUUAGGAUUCUGACAAACAAUACAAAGCCAUCUCAGUGAAUGUGAUAAGUGUUUUGGGGGUAAAAUUUUUUUUUUCUAAUUGUUGGAGCCUACAUUUAGCAAAUUAAGGCGGUUAAAAUUUAUUAUUUUCCAACGAUAAUAAAUAUAGCCUUUUAAAUUGACAAACGCUAUUAAAAAAUCAAGUUUUAGUAUACGAUAGCAGAAUUGUCAAAAACGCUAUAAUAUGAUGCUAUUAAUACUCACAUUUCCUGUAGUGGUAGUAUACCUCUUCUUCCUCUGCUCUACCCUCUACAACUUCUGCAUCUUCAACAUAGCUAACUUGCUUCCUGAGAAGCUUGUGAACACUAUCCAGUUUUACCUUCACCUCAUCCAUCUGAUGAUUCCCAAGGAUGGUGGCAUACCGUUUCCUCUCAAAAUCAAUGUUCUUGGUGCUGUUGCUGGAUGCUAGGUUUUCAAUAACCUUGACUGCCUCCUCUAGAUUCCUGGUGUUGAAGUUUCCAUUACUGGAAGCAUCAAGAGCCAUCUGGUACUACACCGCGAUGCCUCUGUAGAAAGUACUGAGCAGUUGUACUUCAUUGAAUCCGUGGUGUGGACAGUCUCUCUGGUAAGACUUGUGUUGGGGUCCAAAACGGUUACGAAGAAGUUAAUGUCCAAAUCUCCGCAAAAAUCAGCGUGAGCAUUUUAUACGAAAAUUAUUCUUUGUAAAAAAGAAUCUUCACAAAGAGUCUUGCGGUAAAAUCUUGUUCUAAUCUCAAUCGAACCGCUAAAUAUCGAUUGUCCGGAGGCAACAAACACAUAUCCAAAUCGGCCAUGGAUUAGCUCGAGUAUGGCAAUCGGACCACGCACAAGCCAAGCUCGGUCUCUACGUAGCGACCAAGCACGUACACGGUUCGGUCGCUACGUAGCGACCGAGCUCUAGCCAAGCUCGGUCGCUACGUAGCGAAUGAGCACGCACACGGCUCGGUCGCUACAUAGCGACCGAGCUCGAGCCAAGUUCAGUCGCUACGUAGCGACCGAGCACGCACACGGGUCGGUCGUGACCGAGCUCGAGCCAAAUCUCGGUCGCUACCUAGCGACUGAGCACACACACGGCUCGGUCGCUACGUAGCGACUGAGCGCAAGCCAAGCUCGGUCGCUACGUAGCGAUAGAGCACGUACGCGGCUCGGUCGUUACGUAGCGACCGAACUCUCUUAAAACGUCGAUAUGACACGAAUCCAAGCAUUCUCGUCUACUCUUUAAUGCUAUCUCCUGUGAGCCAUGGCUAAACUAUUAUUUGUUUCUCACUACUCGAAGACAACAGUCAAACUUUACGAUAAAAACCGCAGGAAAUUUAUUUUUAUCGAAGAAACCGUAAUAAAUGUUUCGAGAGUAAGACGACCCAAAGAGAUCUAAAACGCAACUCGAAGCCCACUUACGAUUUCUUAUCCAAAAACCCAUAAGCCGUAUGACGGUUUAUGCUUGGUUCGUAAGGCAAGAGAAAUGUCAAGGUUCCGCAGAUAAAUGUGAAGUUUCCGAAGAUAAUCACGAAGAUCGGGAAAAUCAGAAUAUCUCCAUUUUUAAGCUAUGACGGCUUAAGGGCAGAAAGGGGAAAGUGAAAACCGACCUAGGAGCAAGUAUAUAAGGAGUCCUAGGCGAGAGGCAAAGAAGGAUUCGACACACAACAAAACUUAGCACUUAGAGCAAUUUAGGCAAUUUUCCGUUUUUGUUAUUCGAGCUGCGACUCAAUUAGGUUUAGCAUCUUUAGGGUUUUAGAACUAGGAAUCUCGCCGACAGCUCUCGUAGCCCAGGCUCUUACCUUGUUUUAACGCUCAAACGCAAAUUCGGAAUAAGAUCUACUUUGCUCUCUUUUCGAUUUCUUAUCUUUUAUCGUCUUUAUUUUGUGUUAUGAUUGCUUGGCGUGUGGUAUUAGUAGAUAUCCGGGACCUCUGGGAAAUUAGGGUUCUCCUACUUUCCUUAUUUAAAUGGAAAUCGACAGUGCGAAUUUCGGUUCCCACAACUUGAAUCUGAUCCAAGAGCCUCUGAAUGAUUCUGCAGGCUCUUGAGUGAAUGUAGCAAUCUUGCUCCUCAAGUCUUCAGCACGCGCUUCAUCAAAGAAAUUGCAUAAGAAUGCAUUCUUGAUGUUGCUCCAGGAUUUAAGAGAUCCUGGUUGUAACUACUUGAGCCAAUGCAGAGCUUCUCCAGCAAGUGAAUACCUGAAGAGCUUGCAUAACAGGUAGUCCUCAGAGACUCCCUCGACUCUAAUAGCAGAAAUCAGAUCCUCGAACCUCUCUAGAUGGUCCAUAGGAUGCUCGUGGGAUAAUCCAUUGUAGGGUAGCUGUCCCACAAGUGUGUAGUACUGCACUUUCAACUCAAAAUCCCUCUCAAUAGUGGGAGGAAGGAUGGCUGAUCUGUUGGUGGAGUAUCGAUCUGGACGGUUGUAGUCAGCUAACGUUUUGGGUUGUGCAGCCUCAUCUACAGGUAAAGUAGUACCUAUAGCAGUAGCAUCAGGCUCAGGGAUUUCAGCCCACUGAGCGUCUAUCCUCUGACCUGCUACAUUACGUAGAUGACCCUCCUGGUCAUGCAGGUCUCCAUUGUUAUCGCGUACAAGUAUCAAAGGCGCAACCAUGUCUCACGGCUAAGUAUUGAUCGAUGUCCGGGAUGGAAUGUCGAUCGAUGUCGGAUGAAAGAUAUUGGUCGAGGGAAGGUGAGUGUUGUCGGUCGAUAGUGGUGAGCGAGUAUCGGUCGACGGGACUAGUGUAUGGGUCGACGGUGGUUGAGCAAAAUCGAGCGACACACGAGUGAUGUUGUCGGUCGAUGAGGAGCGCGCUUCCUUGCGGAUCGAGCGUUCCAAACUUGCAGGAUCUGGUGAGAAUAGCAGUUAAGUUUCCUUAUUGCUUCUGGUACCGUUGGGGAUGUACCUGAAAAUCCAAGAAAAAAAUUUAUGUCAGAAACUUAACAAAAAUUAGACAAAUAGGCGAUCAGAGUUCCCCGGCAAAGGCGCCAGAUUUGAUACCACUCAAAUUACCCUAAGGAGUGAUUUAUACUCUCUCAAAUAAGAGGUCGAGUUGUAGUACUUAGGGAUCGAAUUCACAGGGAGCUAGGGAACCUUUGAAAUCUAAUAUGAUUUGUUAAGCAAGAUGGUUUUAGAGUUUUUAAAUGUAAAUUGCAGUUUUAUAUUGAACAAGAGUUUGUUCAAUAGGUUGGUUUAGGUUUUGGUGCUUAAAAAGGAAAUAGCUAGACUUAGGGUUUUUAUUUAGGAAAAUUGAGAUUAUAAUCCUACAGAUGAUUAAUGUGUUGCAUGCAUGAUAAUGUAAAGCUCAAGUACUUGAUCAACAAGUCAAUCAGAUCUCGCAUGUAUUGACUUGUCUAUUAACUAGAUCUAAUGAUCUCAACUGUCGUAUUUUGAUCAAUAGAAAGUGUCGAUCGAUAAUCCUAUGGGGAUAUCGAUCGAUACACCUUUUGCACUGUCGAUCGAUUAUUCAAGUGUGAUAUCGAUCGACAUGCUCUAGUCAAGCUUUAUGCGCGGGUUGAAUAAUAGCUUACUAAGCUCACUAGAUCAGCUCUCGCCUUACUCAUAGCAAGAAACAUAGUUCAAUUAGAAUGUUUUCAGAAUGAGAAUAAAGCUCUCGCUUUUAUCAAUCAAUCCAAGGGCAGGUUCUAGGUAGCUAAUCUAGACACAUGCAUUAAUGAACAAUCCUAAAGAUGAUUACCACAACUCAGCAAUCUAUAGUUGGGGCUAAUCCCUCCUAACUUAUUUAAACCCUAAAAUCCAACAAUGGAACUACUCAGACAUGGCUAAGCAAUUCAUAACAGCAGUUAAGUUUGAAAACUUCAUUAGAAUAGUAAAUAUAUAUUAAUGGAGUUCCAAUCACAAAAUAUAACUUUGGAUCUUCUCUCCUAUCUAUCAAAAUCUUAAAACCUUUGCUGUGAAAAUAGUAAAACAAUAAAAAGUACACUUUGCUUCUAACAUGGCGGCAAAGCUUAUAUAAUUAGGGUAAAACUCGUCAGGGGUAAUCUUGUAAAAUGGUGAAGUCUUGGGCUUCAAGUCGGUUGUGACCAAACGGGCUUUCUGCGCGCUACGCAGUCGAUCGAUACCAAGACAUGCGUAUCGAUCGAUUCUUUCUCUCCAAUAUCGACCGAUGGUCGAGCUCGAUGGUCAUCUCGGGUGCUUGCUCCAAAUAUCUCCAAAAUGCUCCAAAAUCAUCACUUAUCUCCAAAACACUCUUGAUCUUAUAAAUAUAAUAAAUAGACUAUAUAAUAUAAUAAUUAUUAGUAAAAGCACCUAUAAACUAUGGAUGAAAAUGGGUCAAAUCCAUAGUCUAUCAACUCCCCUAGCCUUACCCUUUUGCUUGUCCUCAAGCAAAACAAACAGACAGUCUCUCUGAAAGAGGUUUUUUUAAAAACAGCAGGGACUCACAUGAUUUAAAACUUAGAAUCAUCACCUCUACAAUAUUGCAAUCCACAUCUAAGAAUUCCUAAUCACAAAAGCACAUUAUACCAUAUCCUAGCUUAGCAACCAAAUUCAUCUAGCCAACAACUUAGCAAAUUCUGUCUUUCAUUCCCCUCUACCAACCUUAUUUCGUAGCAAAAAUAAAAGUGAAGGCUUUACCUUGGGAGUAUCGAUCACAGAAUGUAAGGAUUCCGUUCAAAAAAAAAGAAUGUAAGGAUUCUCAAACAAGUAUUUGGACCUGCAGGUAAAUUUUCGUAAAACAAAAUGGAAAAAUGUAAUAUUAUUAUUUUCUUAUGAUGUAUAUUUUCUUAUUUUAGUUUUCGAGUUUCUUUAUUUAACGUUUUUAUACGUAAUGGUAAUAUUAAAUUAUGGAGAGUUAUGAAAAAAUUACAUUAUGGAAGAUGACUUUAUGAGCCAAUAAUUUCGAGUUUCUUUAUUUAGCAUUUUAAUAUAAAACGGUAAUAUUACGAUAUGGAGAGUUAUAAAAAAAAGCCACAUGGCUUAUUUUUUAAGCUUGUUUUGUAUAUGACGUGGACUCUUCCUCGAGCCUCAAAUAGUCUAUUUUAUUAGUAUAGAUUCAGAAUAACAAAGAUUUUCUGCCUAAAACUAAGUGAACUUUUCACAAAUAAAGAAAAUUUGAAACUUUUACUUAAGUGGAAUUGCCAAUAUGAUUUAAUUUUAAAUUCAAAGUACGUUUUUAUGUGCCGGGUAUCCAGUCACCAUAUGGGUCCUGACUAGCCGCAAAUGACACCUCCGCCGAUGCGAACCCAGAGACCUGGCGAUUCUCUCAUCUAAAUCCGCCAGUGACCACAUGCGGGGCUAAUAAUCUCUGGUCAUGACCAAUAGGGCAAUUCCUCAUUUAGUGGAGACCACUAGACCACCAUGAUGUGGUUGCAAAAGUACAUUUUUACUAUAUGAAUGUUUUAAAAUAUUAAUUUAAAGAGGAAUUUCUCAAAUAAAUUAAUUUUAUUUCGAAAGUUGAUUUGCUUCCCAAAUGAAUUUAUUUUAUUUGAAAGAAAAGUAAUGACAUGUCAUACUAACAUUGAUGACAUGACUUGAAGCAAAUUGUGACAUGGACAUUUACAGUUAAUGUUGAUUAAUAAUUUUGGAAAGUUUUUGAAAAUAUGGUAAUAACUCAUAGAUCAUCAUUAAUAUAACCAUAAAUAAUAUAAUUGUAGACAUACAAAUAUAAUAAUAUUUACAAUUUCGAAAUAUUAUAUAAUUUUAUUUUUAUAAUUAUAGAAUUUUAUUAAAAAAAAUAAUUCUUCAAACUUUUAUUAAGUUUUUUAAGAAAAAAUUAAUUUUCUAUUUCCGAUACUAUUAGUUUCUUUUGUAUAUCUAUAAAUUUUAUAAAUAUUAUUAAGUUUUACGUUUUUAUAAUUAUAUACCUGACAAAAUUUACAAUUUCGAAAUAUUAUAUAAUUUUAUUUUUAUAAUUAUAGAAUUUUAUUAAAAAAAAUAAUUCUUCAAACUUUUAUUAAGUUUUUUAAGAAAAAAUUAAUUUUCUAUUUCCGAUACUAUUAGUUUCUUUUGUAUAUCUAUAAAUUUUAUAAAUAUUAUUAAGUUUUACGUUUUUAUAAUUAUAUACCUGACAAAAAAAAUUCUUAAUUUAAUAAAAGUUGAUAUAAUAUAUUUUAAACAAAAAAGUAGAAAAAAAUAUUUCCAAAAUCCUAACUUUAAAUAUAUACAUAUGUAUAUUUUUAAAUAUAAAUUAUUUAUUUAUCUUAAAUUUUACAUAUAAUUAAAUUAAAAUUUAAAAAUUAAAUUAUUGUAAAAAAUAAUAAAAUCUAAAAAUUAACAUUUUUUUGUUGUAAAAAUAAUUUAAAUUUUAAAACAUUUAUUUGUGCACAUGUGUAGGAAAACACCUAACUAUAGAUUAUAAGGGAUUACCUCGGGCGGGCUACAUCCGGAUUUUUAUAACUAGUUUUUAUUUAGUUUAAAUUAUUAUAUUUUUAUCAGAAAUAUAUUUAAUAUUUUAUUGUAUAUCUAUAAUUUAAAAAUAUUACAAUUUGUAGCAAAAUUUAUCAUCAAGUCGCCUUGGCCUAAUGGGAAGGGGCUCUAGCUAGAGCUUCGGCGUUGGGUUUGAGUAGUGAUAUUAUGUGUAUACGCACACCAAUUAACCUAAUGUGUACACUACCACAAUCAAAUGGUAUGUCGAUGUAGCAUUUUAGGAUCGAAUCCACAGAGACCAACGGUUACACUUUAUUUCUAUGGGAUCAAUAUUAAGCUAAAACAAUGAAUGGAUUUUAAAGUUGAUUGAAGCUUAAAAAGCAAGUAACAGAGUUGGUUUAGUUUCAGAUUAUAAAAGAGCUAGGUUCAGGGUGAUUCAUUGGUAUACUUAGGACAAUAAGCCACACAACUAUUCAGGAAGACAAUACAAGCCAAUCUAGAACUUGAACAACAAAAUUAGAUAAACCCACAAUCAUGGUGUUUACCAAUUUAUUAAGGAAUCCUAAUGCCUAAACUGUCGUUUGGAAUGUUAGGGUCAAAAUCGGCCACGACGGAAUCAAUGUCGGAAAGUUCUCAAGAAAAAUGUCUCUCUUUAAAAAGAAAGAAAUAAUAGUUAAAAAAAAUAGCAGGAAAACUGAAAUUGAGUUUCAUAUGAAUUCUGAAAAUGAUUCAUACGAUAAGCCCUCCAGAAAGGUCUGACUAUAAAUGCUCGAUUACCUCUACACAACACAUAACUAGACCAUAAAGGUCUGACUGGAAAACAGGUUGUAAGAAUCUCAAAUCCAGGACGAACUACGAAAGGCUUGAUCCUUUCGACAAGGGUACGUAGGCAGCCUUCACAAGGCGCAGCCCUAAUCUUAUCGCACUCCAAUUUUAGUAGAACGAACAGACCACUCCCAACCAUUAAUUCUGCCUAACUUACCUGACCUACCUAACCGCUCGCAAGGACAUCGCAAAAAUUCUAGCGAGCUGGGGGGCUAACUAUUGGAGUCAAAAUCGGUCAGGAUGGAACCAAUGCCGGAAUAUCUCUAGAAAAAUGUCUCUCUUUCAAAAGAAAUAAAUAAUAGCUAAAAAUUAGCAGGAAACCAAAAUUGAGUUUCAUAUGAAUUGUGAAAAGAAUUCAUACGAUAAGCCCUUGAGAAAGGUUACUCGAAUCCUCGGAUAAACGGAUCUUGGGCGUCGAAAAAAUAAAAUGAGCAUAAGGCUCGAUCAACCCGGCUCGCCAUCGGGGCAAGCUGGAUGCACAUCCAACUCGCCCUAGUGGCGAGUUAGAGCGAACAAGAAGUACAACUCGCCCGUUCGGCAAGUUAGAUCAACUAACCUAUCUUCGUCCAGUUCUCGUAGCUCCCUCCUUCGAGAUCGGAUCAAACUUGCUCUUGUUUCAUCUCGAUCGUAGUCCGCAAGAACUCGUUAUCUCGUAUGAAAUUCGAAUUGAUCGUAUAAAAUGGAAACGGUUAACUAAACACCUUGAACUGCCUCCACUAUAUGGAAAAUUUGAACUUUCUUCGGAAUCUACGUCGUUUCGGAAGCGCUCUUUCGAUAAAUCGUAAAACGUUUAAGUCGGAAAACGGCCCGAAAGGGUCUAGAACGCGGCUAAAGGCCCACUCACGAUUUUAUACGAAAUUGAGCCCAAUCGUCAUGACGGUUUAUCCUUUAUUCUACAGGAGAAGAUAAAUGUCAAGUUCGGAGGAUAAAUGUGAAGUUUCCAAAGAUAAACACCAAGAUCGAAGGAAAAUGGAAUAUUUCCGCCAAGCGAUAAACUUGACCGAGGGCAGAAAGGGAAAGAUAAACACGAAGAUCAAAGGAAAAUGGAAUAUUUCCGCGAAGCGAUAAACUCGACCGAGGGCAGAAUGGGAAAGAGGAAACCGCGUCUAGGAGGAGUAUAUAAGGACUUCGAGAUUGAAGAGGCAAAUGGACAAUUUUUUUACUCUUAGAACUCUCUGCACUUAGAAACUUUAGGCAUUAUUCUCGACAUGUUUUCUUUCUAUGACUGGCACUCUAUUACUAGAUGAACUUGCAAGGGUGGCUCGAUCUCUUGUUAUACUCUUUCAAUCAAACUACAUUCGGCUUGUUCCUCGAAAGGGGUACGUAGGCAUCCUUUCAUAAGGUUCAUUCCAAAAUCAAUCAAAACAUUUUUCGUUUCUUUUUUGUCUUCUGUUAUCGAGCUGCGACUCAACUAGGUUUAAAGUUUUGGGUUGCUAGAACUAGGUAAUUCGCUGACAGCUUUUGCGGCCGAAACUUUUAUAGUCUCUUGUAAUGAUCGCAACGCUCUUACGCGGAUUAGAAAUAAGAUCUACCUUUUCUAUAAAUUCAAUUUGCUAUCUUUUCAUCUUUUCCGCAUUAAUUUGGUCACUUGUCAUUGGCUCUCGCAGAGAAUCCGUGACCUCAGGGAAAGUUAGGUUUGUUGACUUUCCUCCGAUUACGGAAAUCAACGGUACGAAUUUCAGUUCCCACAUGGAUUAGAGAAUGAUGACAAGCAUUAAGUUUGGAUUCAAUUGGUUCACGACUUGCCUUAACAUCAGCUUUGGUUGGCUAAGGACAAAUCGUCUAUCUAUGCUUUUCUAGCAACCUAAAACACUUUUGAUGAUCAGAUGAUAAAUGGCUAGUUUAACACAUGCAUUAAUAUUAGCAAUAGAUAGAGAUACCAAAUAUUAAUAAUCCUAUUUGUGUCUAACUCAUUGAUCCAUGAUCCCAAAAUCCUUAAACCUAACAAGCGACUACUCAUCGGUAAACAGAGAAAUCACAGAGACAAUAGAUGAAGAAAACAUGUUGAAUCAAUAAAUAAAUAAGAUAGGGUUCAUGAAUAUUCUCAAGGCGAGAGAGAUGAAGCCUUCCCUCUGUCAACGUAGCAAAUAUUCAAGUACAAAAGUCUCCAAUGGUUUCUCGUGAAAAAACUAGCGUAGAAUAGUAUAGAGAAAGAGAAAAAGAAAAAGAAGAUAUAUUUAGGCCACAGGCGGCUGGGGAUGAAAUAUAGGGAAACUAGGGCAAAUCCCGAAAUAGAAUCUUUUUUUCCAUAAAUAUCGGGAACAUGCAGUCGGAUUGCUCCGCUCGAUCGGGAACAGUCACUUCAGACUGUCCUGCGUGAAAAUCACCAAAUUGCACUGUUUUCUGCCUCUUUUGCUCAACUGGUCCAUCUCCUAUCCAGUAAAACUCCAGACCUGUAAUGACUCACAAAAAGACUAGAAAGACUCGAUAAAGCGUCAAACCCAAUUAGAAAACAUAUAUACAAUGAUAUCAAAAACACCAUAUAUCAAUUUCUCCAGACUUAGAUCCUUGUUUGUCCUCGAACAAGGCCAAGUAUCAAGAACAGAGAGAAAGGUUUGAAAGUGUGGGAACUCUCUUAUUUUCAUCCACCAUAUUUUAACCACGAAUCUCUGAUCCAUACAAGCAGUAAAACUAGGACAACACACCCAUACCAAAACCCCACUGACCGCUGUUCAAGAUCGGCUCCAUACUCUCUAUCUCAAACCUUCAAAAGCUACACCUCCCAGACAAAACUCCUUACAUUCAACUAAGAGUGGCGUGAGAUUCUCAUCACAUGCAUUAGUCAAGGUUUCGGUCAAGGUAUAAAACAUGCCUUUUAUGUGUUUAGGUGGAGUUAAUCAGUGUUUAGGGAUUACCAUUUCUCGUAGAGGAUGCAGGAUACCGCGCAAAAUUGCAAGAGAGGAUAGAUCCAUUGAUGUCCACAGCCUCUACUCGUUUUUGCCUUUUCUCACUUCAGCAUAGUUACUCUGAUUAGGCGCCUGCUCUUUCCUUGGAACAGUCGCUCAUAUCAUUUGCAUUUCCUUCAUUCUUUCAACUUGGCACCCAUUCUUUCACUCGACCUUCCCAGUGGCUCUUGUUUUUUUUUGAAAUCUUCCCUCCUCCAUCACCUUAUUCUGAUGGACGUUUUUUUUUUCUUGAAGAAAACAUGGUGAUGGUGACGAAGAAGGAGGUAACACAUGAUGGUUUCGAUGUACCACUGGUGGUCAUGAUUACCUUCUCAUUCCUGUUUCCUUCCACUCUGCUCUCUUAGACUAAAUCAGUUGGCGUCUGAACAGUUGCUCCCUUGGUUUCACAUGUUCUCUUCCCAUAACACUUUUCUGUUGCAUUAACGAGUAAGAGGCUGCAUCGAUCCUUUCCUCUCCGGCCCUUUUGCACAUAUCUGCACAUAAGAUACUGAAAAGCAAAUGCAUGAGGGUGGAAUAAAGGCUUAGGGUUUCAAGGUGGGUACUAGCCAAAAAUGAGCUAGCCAAUUAGGAUCAACAAGAUGGAUAGAAAGAAUAAGAAGUCAUGAGUGCGAUCUUGUUACCCCAAUCUAACGCCCAUGACAAGAAGAAUUGCAGUCAAGAUAAGGUUCAAGUUAAAUGGAGUUAAGUGUGUCCAGAGUAACCUUUACAAGCGAAAAGCUUCUGGAGAACAAGAUUAUGUAAUUUCAGGGUGUUCUGGGUCCACACGUCUGUCGCCUCUGCUAAGGUCACUGAAUAAUAUAACUAAAACACGAGGGUGGUUAAGAAACAUCACAAAAUAAGGUUCUAAUUCUCACAAAAUUUUGACUGACUCGAUAAAAAAACUGACUCAAAAUGACUCAAAAGAAAAAUAAAAGAAGUAAACGAGUUAGUAAACGACAAAGACCCUCCCCCAGACUUACUUCACAACGUCUCGGUGUGAAAAUAAAUCGGAGAGAAGGUGAAAACAAGAAUAUACAUUUUUUUUUGGUCGAGAUACUUAGCUGAGUGGAACGGGUGGUCCGAAAAAUUAUGGGUGCUCUAUCGUCAGAUUUCGCUUCUGCAACCCAUAAUUUUUCGAAGUAUCUCGAUUUUUUCUGUUUUUUUUACCUGAGACUCAAUAACUAAAACAGAAAAUAAGCAAAACAAAAACAAAACCAAGUUAUAUUUAUACUUACCAGUGGAUUGCCUCCCACCAAACGCUUGGUUUAAGUCACUAGCUUAACUUGGUGAUAGGGAUCAGUCGGGUUGAGCAUGAAGACUUGUUCCAAAAAAAGCUCCACAAUCAGACAUGUUCAUCUUCAAAACACUGCUCAACAACCCUGUCACAGCAGCUUCUCCUUUCACCUUCAGCUCACCAGUGAGAAUAACUCUGACUUUAGAGAAAGGUUUAGAGGUACCCUUACACUUUACCUCAUACUCAAUGGAUUUCUCAUCACACAUGCGAGGUAUCAAAGUCAUUGUAGGAUCACCCUUGAUCCUUUUCUACUGGACUUUUUCAUUCACUUUUGCAUUCCCACUGAGUUUCUUGGUAUCAGUGUGAGGAUCUCCAUCCAGGACUUCUUUUAUCUCACCAUUUUCACAAAGUUCCUUCUUAGGAACAUUUUCCAGCCUUUCUCCGCUGACCACUGAGAUGCAAGAGGCGUGUAGUGUGGGGUUGAUCUCGGAGAAGGAAACUCUCUUAUUAGGAAGAUCGAUGAUUGCCCCCACUGUAGCCAUAAAUGAUCUUCCAAAAAUCAAAGGCAUCUCAUAAUCCUUACUCAUCUCAACAACCUGAAAUCCAGUAUGAAGAAUACAAUCUCCAACAUGGACAGGAAGGUUGCGAAUUGUGCCAUAAGCGACUGCCAUGGAAGAGUUUGCAAAAGCCAGAGUCACCAGAGAAGGCUCAACAUCAACAAUGCCCAGCUUGUCUAAAAUCGCCUUUGAGACAAGGUUCACACUAGACCCGGAGUCACUAAGAGCUUCCUUGAAUUCGACUCCAGCAAUGGAACAUGGAAAAGAAAAGUUUCCAGAGUUAUCAAACAUAAGCAAUACCUUCGUGUUGGUGUUAAUGCGUAAGUAAAGAGAGCCCUAUAUUCCUCUUGAGUCUCUUUGCAAUUUUUGAAGAACAUACGCAAUUGCUGAAUCUCCCAAAUAUGUUCAAAUGAGGUCUUUUUAGGAAGUCUUCUCACCAUCUUCCUAAACCCAACCAGCUGCUCUGCGCUAAUGGGAUCCAUCAGAUGUCUAGGUGGGAUAGGAUAGGUUACCUUAGGAACAUAGACUCAAACUGGUGGAGUCUCAGCAGGUUCGCUAGGAGCAGUCGCUUCAGAACUAGCAGGGUGCUGUGUUCUCUCUUCUGCGCCUAAAGCAGCCUCAGCAAACAGUUGCUCCGGUUCUUUUUCUUCAGCUUUCUCACAUCUCAGCUCUGUUGCAUUACAGUGCUCAACCCUAGGAUUUAUCACACUCUUUCUAAGAAGGGUUCCUNNNNNNNNNNNNNNNNNNNNNNNNNNNNNNNNNNNNNNNNNNNNNCACUCUUUCUAAGAAGGGUUCCUUGUUGCCUCUUAAUGUCUGAGCAAUCUGAAUGUCUAUCCUCUUCAUAUGGCUGCUAACCACAUCAUACUUGGUACUCAGCUCGGUGAACAUGUUGUCCAUUCUGGAGUUGAUGUCCGUGGUAACAUGAUUCAAUGCCUUGGUCUGAACCUGCUGACCCUGCAACAGUUGUUGCAUCAUCAUACUCAGACCCUUCAGUUUAUCAGGUUAACUGUUCCCGGCAGCUGAAACACCUUGCUGGUUGCUCCGCGGCUGUUGCUGGUUGCUCUGCGGCUGUUGCUGGUUCUAUGAAAGCGAAAGUUUUACCCUGAAACUUCUGUGGGUUUUGUGCCUGACUGAAAGCGAAAGUUUUCCUUUCAAUACAAAACUAUAAAGUUUGAGCUUCAAAUUUUAUAACUAAAUUACAUUAAGAUUCUUUAUUUUUUAUUUAGUCAGAUAUUAAUUUGCUAAUAUACAGUAAUAUUCUUUUCACAUGAAUAAUCCAAAACUGACCUUAACCACAACAUACUAUUCCUUGAUUAUAUAUUGAAGAAUAAGUAUUUUAUUAAAUAAUUAACUUACUUAAAGUUUUAUUAUCAAGUUUGUCAGUGUGAGAUGGCAUCACCUAAAGCAUUCUAAGAUAAUUUAUGCUAAUUUGUCAUCAUCACAAUGAUUCUCAUAAUUUACGUUACUGUAUUAUCACCACAAGUAUUCUCGCAGAAAUACUUAAUCAUUUUUUCUUUCAUUAAUAAGAGAUAUGGAAUUACGUAAUAUGAUAAAAAAUAUAUGUGAUAAUUAAUGAUAAUGAAUGAUAAAAUUUUGAUAACAAGUUUUCUAUAAUCUAUCAAUUUUGUUUAAUUUUAUAUGUGUACAUCCAUUAAAAUAUCACAUUAGCCAUAUAAUAAGGUUUUAGAUUUUAUCAUGUGUUAUUUUUUGAAAUUACUAAAACUGUUAAAAAUCUAAUAUUGAAAAUUUUGUGAUCAAUAGUUUACUUUUUACUAUCAAUAUAUAUACAUAAUCAUAAAAAUAUGUAGGAAACUUCAUUUAAUAUAUAUUNNNNNNNNNNNNNNNNNNNNNNNNNNNNNNNNNNNNNNNNNNNNNNNNNNNNNNNNNNNNNNNNNNNNNNNNNNNNNNNNNNNNNNNNNNNNNNNNNNNNNNNNNNAAACUUAUUUUUAGAAAAAUAUUUUAUAAAUAUCUAUUAUGUAUAUAUCACAAGUUAUUAUCGAGUAGAUUGUACUUCACAUUAAAAUAGAAAAUAAGACACAAGCCAAACGAGAGAAAAAACAAAUUAUGGAAACCAAACCUUGAUUCUGAAAAUUAAGAAAAUCAACGUCGACUCAAAACCCUGCUCAUUUCAUUCUUCAUUUUGUAAAUAACCAAAUUUUUUUCGGCGACAAAAGGUAUGCACUGGAAAUCAUGGAACAAACUAUGUCAUCAUAAGCAUAAAAGAGGGUUGGGGUUUAAAUAGCUCACAUAUUUCAAUACAUCUAUGCUCGAAAAACAAUUUCGGCGGAAGGACGUUACUUCAGGAAUGCAUCACCCCUGAACCGAUUAGAUCUGGAACCGAUUAGAUCUGGAACCGAUUAGAUCACACUCACGGUCAUAUGGCUGAUGCCGUAUUGUCUUUGCUAGAUUUCUGGAUAGCAAAGGACUAAUCAGCAGGGUGGGAUCAUGAUCAUCUAUUUUAGUAUGGAAUGAUAUUUCCCUCCCAACCACUCGCCUGAGACCAGCAGGUAGUAAUCAACAAAACCUCUACCCUGAUCAUAUAGUGGAUUUUCUCAUCAACGCAACAUCGCGGACAUAGAAUAUACAUGCAAUUCUGUCUUUCAUAGAUCCACAUGAUGUGAAGAUUAUUGAAAGUAUACCGCUGAGUCGGACUCAGAUUGCAGAAAGAGAUGGAUGACAUUUCACUGAAAAUGGGAAAUACACAGUGAAAUAUGGAUAUCAAGUGGAACGAGCUUAUCCUGACAGAGAAAAAACGCUGCCAGUGUAUUGCCCAAUGGUGUUUCCCCUAAAGGCGUAUGGCUGGAAAGUACGCUGUCCGCCGAAAAUAAACACUUUCUAUGGCAAAUAGUAUUAGGAUGUUUAGCGGUUAAGAAAAACUUGAGAGCGAGAGGGAUUCAAGGUGAUAUACAUUGUGAAAGAUGUGGAGCAAUUGAGGAAUCAAUAAACCGUGUUUCUUUUUAAUGUCCUCCAGUUGUUCAAGUUUGGGCACUCUCAUCGAAUACAUAUAUUUUCUCUUCUCAAUCACUGCAAAUAUGGAUCAUAUGUAUUAUAGAGAGUCUCUCCACAAAUGCAUAUGGAAGAUCAUCCAUUUGCAUAGAUUCUAUGGUACAUUUGGAAAUGACGAAACAACAAAGUUUUUAGUAUUCAUAUAUGUAGGUCAUAAAAUUAUUAGAAUUGUGAUUAGUAUAUUUUAGGUCAUACAAAAUAUUUUUUUAGUUUUUAGAAUGCUUCCCUCUUAAAUAGUAUAGAUUAAAGAAUCACAAAUCAAAUAGUUUAUUCAAAUUUAUAUACUGUUAAAAAGUAUAUCAUUUUUCUAAAAACAAAUCAUCAGACUUAUACAAAUUUGUAGGGCUUGUUACAAAAAUGACUCAAAACUCAAAUUCAAAUUCAAACAUAAAACUAAUCCAUGGCUUUUUUGGAACUUUCAUUUGUCAUAUUCAACUUAAAAGUUUGGAUUAUUUACGAAAAAUGUCAUUACUUCUUUUACGAAAAUGAGCAUUUUACUCUACCAUUCCCAUCUUCUUCAAGUAUUUACAAUAUCAUCAUUGCCAUCAAUACACCAACCACCAUGAACAACCAAUUUGAAGAUCUUAAUGCUCCUAAGAAUCAAUUUUCACUCUUCAUAUCCAAUAUCUUAUUCACUAAAACAAUAUCUCUUUCAAUUUCUCUCUUUAUUCAUCCAAAAAAACCCCAAGAUUUUUAUUCUAAAUUUUGUAAGGCUCAUAGAGCCAUUCAAACUCCAGAUUCUUGGCCAUUAACAAGUGGGCCGUUUUCGUGUUGAACUAAUGUGUGUUUGGAGAAGCUAAGCAAGUUAUCUCAUUAGUUGAAGGUAAGAAAUCAAUUUUUUUUCUAGAUCGGUUCGCUAGAAGACUUCCGUGUUAUUCUUCUGGUCGUAGAAGACUUAUACGGAUGUCUUCUGGUCAAUGCAGAAGUUAGUUUUCCAAUUGACUUUAUGUCUUUUUUCUAGAGAAGACUUCCUUGGAGUCUUACACGUAAUUCUUCUCGGAUAAACAGAUUAGUUUUGCAAUUGACCAAAUUUUGUUAGAAAUUUGACUCUUUCUACAAGACUUACAUGGAAGUUUUCCGCUAGAAGACUUCCAGGAAAGUUUUCUGAACUGUCGGUGGAAGUCUUCUCACAGAGCGGUGGAAGUCUUCUCAAGUUACUUUUGCAAUUGAAAAAUAAAAGUUAAAUAUUUAAUUUUAUUUAGAAGACUUCCAUGUAAGUCUUCCGAGAAAAGAUUACACGGAAGUUUUCCAGAGUUUAUUUCGAGAUUCUCGUCAAUCAUUUGGUUAUCACAAAAGACUUCCGCGUAACUCUUAUGCCAGAAGACUUACAAGUAAGUGUUCUAGUUAAAAUUAAAUACUCUAUUUUUUAAUUCCAAAAGUAACCUGAGAAGACUUACAUUUCAAGCAGAAAUAAAAUAUAAAGUUGUAUUUUUAUGGUGGAAGACUUCUGUGUAAGUCUUCUAGAAAAGGUCAAAUUUCUGAUACAAUUUGGUCAACUGCAAAACUAACAUGCUUAUUCCAUAAGACUUACAGGUAAGUCUUCUCUGGUAUUUUCAAGAUUUUUUCAAAUACAAAAGUAAGCCAACAUUUACAAAAUGAAACUUCAAAAGAAGUCUGCUGUAGAGUAGACUUCCGUGGAAGUCUUUCUUUGUAAAUUUUCAAUUGUAAAAAUUACCUAAAGGGAAGAAUUCCUAGCAAUCUUCUGAAAGACUUCCGUUGGCGUCUUCUACGUCAAUGUUUAAUAAACUUUCAUUUUCUUUAAAACUAUAAAAACUUUUUAACAUUUUUUUGUUAAUUCAUAUAAAUUAGUCGAUAUUGCAGCUACUGAAUUAAAUUCAUAACUUAAUUGGUUUUAAUCAUGAGGUUACCAACAUUCAUGUUUAUUAAUAUUUCUAGCUAAUUUUAUAAGCCUUUCCGGUAAGUCUUCUCAGUUUAAGUUUUUGUAAAACUUGUAUUUUCAACUUCAAUAUAUAUAUUUAACUUUCAAAUGUGUCAAGUAACUUCAAAAAUAACAAGUCAUAUGUUUUAAUGUGUAUUCUUAGAUCAUAAGAUAUACUUUUUAACUUUCAUGAAAUUUGAAAUUUCAAUUUUCACUAAAAAUUGAGUUUCCCGCUUAUAUUUUAAUUUUUUCGCUUUAAAUUUCCCGCUUGAAAUUUAAGUUAUCCGAGAAGUCUAGAAGACUUCUAAUGAAACUGUUAUAUGUUUGAACUUAUGUAAUGUUUGAUCUUUUGUGAAUUUGACUAAGUUUUCUUCCUUAGUUGUAGUAAAUUUGACUAAUUUGUUUUGUGUUAUUGUGUUUUGCUAUUGAAUUUGUAUCAAUAACUUUUGGCAAGAUAAUAUUGUAGACUUGAAGAUAUUUACCAAAACAAAUUCACUAAUAUCUCUUCAAAUUUUCAAAAGAAAUCACAACUAAAGGAGUACACCAACAAAUCACAAAACAUACCAUAAAAAUAACUAUUAUAAAUCAUUGCUCCACAAAGACAAGUUUGAACUCCACUUGACAUGAGAGAAGACUCCGCCAAAAGAUUUCCAUGAAGUCUUCUAGUGCAUUAAAUGUUAGAAGAUCUGAAAAACAUGCAUAUCAAAAAACAUUCAAAUGGCUUCAAAACAUAGAAAAAAUAAAAAAUAAGAUAAUAGCUUAAAACAACCAAAACAAUUUUCAAAAGGUAAGAGCUUUAAGAAACAAGAGGUUACCAAAUAAAAAAAUAUGAUUUAUAGAUAUACUUUUAAAGGAGUCGAAGAUGAGAACCUUGUAAUGAAAAACUUACAAAACAAGAUGAAUUAGUGGGAAAGAAAUGAGACAAAAAAUAAUAAAUUGAUAUAAAGUUUGGUUUUUGCAAGUUCUAAGAGAUUAAAGAGACGUCGGAGAGUUUUAGCUUAGGAAAAAGGUAAAAGUUUUAAGUAACCAGAGGUUACCAAAUGAAGAAAAAUCAGACAUAGAAACUUAUAAAAACACUCAGAUCUAUUAUGAAAGAGGAGACAUGGGAGAAGAUUCCUCCGGAAUACUUCAUGCAUUAAAUGCUAGAAGAAUUCUGAGAAAACUUCCCUGAAAGUCUUCCAAGUCUGUCUCAGAUCUGAAAAACAUGCAUAUCAAAAAGCAUUCAAAUGGCUUCAAAACAUUGAAAAGCUUCAAAAAUAAGGUAAUAGCUUAAAACAGCCAAAAGAGUUUACAAAAGGUAAGAUUUUUAAACAACAAGAGUUUACCAAAUGAAAAAUACUCCAUCUGUUUUCAAAAGUAAGAUGUUUUAGAUUUUUUACUUGUUCCACAAAGAUAGAUGAAUAGGAAUAAAAUGAAUCGGAAUAAAAUUUUGUAUUACUUUCGGAAACAUUCACACCAGUGACUGGUAACCAUCAAGAAACAUUAGGAAUGAAUAGGAAAAAGAUGAAUAGGAAUAAAAUUUUGGAAAUGAUGAGGAAUGAGGGUUCCUUAUCAAAAUUAACAAGGAACAAAUUUGUAUUAUAAUUCUCUACAAAAAAGAGAAUGAGAUGGAAUGAAGAGGAAAAAAUAUUUUUCAUGAAUGGUAAUCUUUUUAAGAAACGUUAAGGAAUGUAGUAUUCCUCUUCAUUCCCUUGGUUACCAUUCAAACCUAUAUUGAAGGUACUUUUUUAUACUUUUAAGAAACAUUAAAUGAAAAUAUUUGAAUUGAUUAAAUUUCUUUGGUGAAAAGUUAUUGGAAAGUGUAUAAUAAAGUAAAAGAAAAAUUAAAUUAUAAAAAUUAUUGAAUUCUUAAUAAACGUGAACACUUUAGAAAAUCUUACUUUCGGGAAUUUCGGGAACAGAGGGAGUAUAAUUUAUAAAUCUACUUUUAAAGGAGUGGAAGAUGAGAACCAUGUAAAUAAAAACCUGCAAAAACAAAAUAAAUCAUUGAGAAAGACAUUAGAUAAAAAUGAGAAAUUGAUAUAAAGUUUGUUGUCUUUAGGUUCAAAGAGAUUAGAGAGAGGUUGGAGAACUAGUUUCCUGCCAUGAACACUCAACAAAAUCGCCAACAAGGUUCUUUACCUGGAAAAUCUGAGCAAAACCCCAAGGAGACCAUGAAAGCUAUCACCCUCAAAAGUGGUAAGGAGUUACCUCAGAAAGCUCUCACCAAGGCUGCUGAGAAACAAGGUGAGGGGGUUGCCAUCAACAUAGAUGAUGAAGUGGGUAUUGUUGAUGAGAAAAUCAAUGAUGAAAUCUUGGAGAAGAUUGUGGAAGCAAAAGGUAAAGGAGAGGUUGGGGAAGAGAAGAAAACAGUGAAAGAUGGUGAAGUUGUUGCUCCAGCAAGUGAGAAUUCUUUUGUUCCUCCUCCCUAUGAACCCAAACUACCAUUCCCUGGUAGAUUCAAGAGGCAGCUGCUAGAGAAGUACAAAGCUCUAUUUGAGAAACAAAUGAGUGAAGUUCAAGUCACAAUGCCCAUCAUUGAUGCUUUCAUGCUGAUUCCUCAAUAUAGCAAGUUCCUGAAAGAUGUUGUAGCUGCAAAGAAGAAGGAGAUGGAGGGCAUGAUGAUUAUCACUCAUGAGUGCAGUGCCAUCAUCCAGAGGCUUGUUGUUCCAAAGAAGCUAGAAGAUCCAGGAUGCUUCACAUUACCUUGUGCUCUUGGACCUAUGGUAUUUGAUAGAUGUCUCUGCGAUUUGAGAGCUAGUGUCAGCUUGAUGUCUUUAUCUGUUGCUAAGAAGCUUGGUUUCACUCAGUACAAGAAGUGUAGACUGUCUCUAGUAUUGGCUGAUCGUUCAGUGAAGAACCCUGUGGGUAUCUUGGAGGACCUCCCCGUUAAGGUGUUGAAAGGUUUGAUUAGAUAACCCUCUCAUUCUAGAAUUACUUUGAUUAUUGAAUUUUACUUGUCUUGUAAUUUUCACAUGAUGAAAAGAUUGAGAAUUGUGAUUCUUUACGUUGCCUCUUGAAGUUUACAUUUGCAAAGUCAAUCCACUUAUCCCUUUUCAAGUUUUGUAUUUCUCAGGUACAAUGGUUAAGAAAACUAAGGGAAAGUCGGAUGCUGAGAGGCAAGAACCUGAGAGACAAGAGUCUUCGUUGAGAGGAAAGGCUUUAGCCUCGGAACAAGCUGGUUCUGGGAAACAAAGGACUUCUCGACAGCAAACUGUGGCUGCAAAGAAGGCAAAGGAGCAAGAGAAGAGGACAGGAAAGAGUAUAGCAGUUGCCACAGAUGAGGAAAGUGGCGAUGAAAGUACAGAUGAGCAGGCUCCUACAAAGAGGGCCAAGAUGUCCAAGGGGAAGGAGGUUGCUGAUGAUAGAGACAGGGCGAAAACUCCAUCUGAGGAAGAGUUGUAUCAUCAUUUGCUGAAUGGGGUAACUUGGACUCCAACCAGAUUCGCUGACCUUGAUUUACUGAAAGAGGUGGGUCUCGAUUCUGAUAUUGAGGCAAUGCUGGGGCACCUGAAGAUGCCCAAACUCCUCACCAUGGCCUACCCUGCCUACCGGGAUGUCUCCUGUCAGUUCUUAUCUUCCCUUGAGGUCACUUACCAUGACGCUACGCACGUGAGGCAAGGAUGGGGCAAAAUAAAGUUCAAGGUCAAUGGGAGAGAGUACAACAUGAACUUCAAAGACAUUGGGAGAGUCAUGGGUUUCCAAGACUUGGCAGACUACUCCCUUCCCAAGUGUGAAAACCUCCCCACUCAGCUUUGGAAGUUAAUCACUGGAAACAAGCACUCUACCGGGGCUGACAAGAACUCACAUAUCCGGCACCCGUCUGUACGCUACCUCCAUAGGAUUCUCGUCCAUGCAUUCUACCCACGGAAGCAAGCUGGUAAUGUCACCAAGGAAGACAUGCGACUGCUCUGCCCGGCUAUCCGCCCCUACAUCCCACCAGGAACGUUGCCCCGUCCAAGCAAUGACAUCUAUGCUUCCUUCGGGAUGGUCAGCUUCUUCGUGAAUCGUCUCGAGCACUACAUAGACUGGGUAUGGUACAUAACUGAUUCGCAACCAAAGGUUGGGAUAGGCGGGAUGAUCACACCACUGCUCCAAUUUCUGAAUGUUCCCUUGGGAAAGGACGCAGCAGGGCCUAAGUUCAUCGAUGGCACUUACUUGAGGAUUGCCACCUAUUUCAGUGGGAUGUAUGGGAAGGACUACGUCUACCACUACUACUUGCAGGGCAAGCCGGUCGAAGUGGUUCUUCCAAACCAGAACCUGACGAGCUUAGAGAGACCUGGAGCUAUCAGCUUCAACAUAUCCCAUGAAAACUUUCUUGGAGAACACGGGUCUCUCGGUCCCAUUGCUCCACCAAGGAAAAGAAGUGUUCCGACGAGACAUUAUGAAUCUCCUAGGGAAGCAUCUGUACCCGUCUAUGGACCUCCGCGCUACUACUUCAAGCCACAUGAUGGGGUUCUUCCUCCUGGUGCGCUUCGUGACGCUCAUGAGCAUAUUGGUCGACUUCAGAAAUGGAACAAGGCACAAGACAGGACAAUAGAAAAGCUGAAAAACAAGUGCAAGGCGCUGAGCAAGACGGUGAAGAAGCAAGCAAAGACUUCAGCCAAGUUCAUGAAGAAAGUGGCCGAUGUCUUGACCAGAGGAGGCAUAGCUGGAUGUAGCUCAGCGGACUUCGCUUUCGCGAACACAUCAGUACCCCAGCCCCCACCUCAGCCCACUGAUCUUGGUUUCCCACUCACUGAUAGACAGCUCCAGCGAAAAUGGAGGAACCCACCCACUCAGCCUUCCACCUCUGGAAACAAGUCUCCAUCUCUAGCCUCUUCAGAAAGUGAGGCCGAGAUUGAAGAGGUUCAGAGCCAACAAUGGUAUGGAGACUACAGCUCAGGACAUGGAGGUUACUAAACCACGUUCCCACCGGACGACGACUAUGCUGGGACAUCUGCCCCCACUCACUAUCCUUGAAGGUACUUCUCUACUUUCCCUUGUAUAUACCAUUUCGUUUUUGCAUAUUAGUUUUCUCUUUUUGGGUAUCUCUCUCUCCUUGACAACACAGAGACUGUGUCAUUUAAGUUUGGGGGAGGUACCAAUUAUUUGAUCAUGUUUUCUUUGAUGUUGUUUCAUUGAGUCAUGCAUUGCAUACCUAUUUGCAUAAAAAAAUUUGAAAAAAAUUUGAAAAACACAAAAAAAAAUCAUUUAGUUUGCAUCAUUUGCAUUUCUAGGAGAGUUUAGAGCAUAUAGGUUUCAUUUACUUUCAUUGGGAGCAAUGAUUUGAAAUGCCUUGUAAAGAACAUUACUUUGCACCUGAGUAGCUUAUGCACCUCUCAAAAAGACUUGUAUGCUUCGACCCUUGAAAACUCUUCCUGAAACUUGUUAAUGGCUGAAACUCAACAUUUGAAGCCAACUACAACCUUGUUUGAACUGAACGAACUUAAUGCUUCUUGCUUAUGGUCCCUUGUGUACUGAGUCAUGGAUAUACACACUUGAGUUGUCACAUCCUUUAUGCCAAUCUUUUUGACAAACUCGAGUGGUACACCAUUCCCAAAACCCUUCCCUCCUUUUGAGCUUUCAUUAUUUGAUGAGUGAGGCCUUUUUCGGAAAGCCUUACAUGUGCAUAAUGUUGAGAGUAUCGGGAACAACAAUGCUUGGUCUUCAUUCUUGCUAGAUUAGGCACUCUAUUGUCUAGCUAUAGGUGGGGGUGAGUGUUGUGACUAUGGUUUGGAAGCAUGAAAAGUUCAAAGGAAAAGAAUAGAGUCUUUGUGUUUAAAUGGAUAAUCUUAUUGGAAUUAAUAGAUAAACGUCUAGCUCGAGUUUAUGAAAAGUCUUGGCCCCCGAAGAAAAAAAAGAAUAUAAAAGAGAAAAGAAAAAAAUAUAUAUAUAAAAAAAAAGAGAAGAAGAAAGAAAAGGGGGUUAUCAAAGUUGUUUAGAGCUAAGAUUUGUUUAGAAGUUGAGAAAAUCCUUUAUAGAUUUCAAAGAAAAAGAGUUUUAUGUGCAAAGUGUUCUUGGGAUCUUUUGGUGAGAGAUGGGAGUUGGGUUUGACAUUAUGAAGUGAUUGUGUAACUUGUAUGUUUGGGAAAAGGGUAGAACAACGGAGAUUGAGCAUUGUAUGCAUGAGUUGGUCCCUUUCUUAGAUAUAUUAUGUUCAAUGUCAAGACUACUUGUCUUGAGAGUAAACCACCUUUAAAGAUCAUGUGUUUUGAACCUCUUGACUCACUUGAAUAAAAGACUUCCCUUUACUCAACCAAAUGAUUUGGACCAAUUGACCAUUUGCAAGAAUUCACUUGAUGUUUUAUGCUUAAUGAAUGUGAGAGUUGGUUGAUUUGAAUGUGCGGAUCCUUGAUGAUGAGUAUAAGGGCAAAAGGAGUUGAGAUAUGCCUAGAGAAGCUAGAGUGUUAUAAGAGAGUGUGCUCAUAUUGGUUUAGAUGUUGAAUUGAGUGCUAGUUGUGUUUCUUUUGGCUAUGAGCUCCCACCUUCAAACCUCUCUGCCUAUGAGUUCUAGAAACUUCACUUGUGGACAAGUAAAAGAACAAGUUUGGGGGAAUUGAUAUCUUGGAUAUUUCCAUUGUCUUAUCCAUUCACCCAUGUGCAUUUUGAUCAUAUAGACUAGGAUUUAGCCAUGUUUAUGUUGCAUUUUGCAUACAUGAGUCUUUAUUAGGUAUUGGAGUACCACAUGGAGUUCUUGGAGACAUUUGGAUGCAUUUGGAGCUCAAAAGAGGGGAUCUAGGUGAUCAUUGGACGAGCAGAGCAUGGGAACGACAUCACGGAGCGACGCCAUGAGGUCGCCCCAAACUACCUCUCAGAGCGACGUCGCUGGAGCGACCCCGAGAAGUCGCUCGCCAUUUCAUCCCGGUGGAAGCCGAAACUGACCCGGAGCGACCUAUCAGAGCGACCACUCCAGGUCGCUCCCGAAGCCCAGAGCGACUUGGCCAGAGUGACACCCCGAGGUCGCUCGUAUUUCUAUCGCGUGACGACAACACAAUGGAGCCGGAGCGACCCACUGAGGUCGCUCCCAAAGCUCGGAGCGACAUGCCGAGGUCGCUCCGCGUCUAUUUGUUGGCCGAAUUAAUGUUUUCUCAAGGGCCUUUUGGUCAUUUCAUUAUGCACGUUUUUACUUUUCAAAAACCUAUGUUUUAAGUACCUUUGGUAGCCACCAGGCAGAUUAUCUUUUGUUCUUAAGAAAAAACUUUUGGAAAGUUCAUCUCUUGAAUCAUUUUUGUUCAUCUAGUUAUUGCAAUUAUGUGUUUCCAAUUCAUUGUUGUAUCCCUCUGUAUGAUUAAUCUGAAAUCCAAAAUGGGUUUAAGAGGAAUCAUGAAGAGUAGUGAGUAAUCACCAUUUGAAUUCAUGGGUUAGGAAGAUUAAGGGUGAUUAGGUUAGAGCUAGGAUGUUUUAGUGUAGAUCAUUCCAAAACCUUGUUAGUAGAGUAAUCAUAAUGCAUCUUCUGAGUUAGCUUCUCAAAAGUUGAUCUUUAGGCAUUUUCCACCCAAAAGGUGUUCGAUGAAAUGCCUGAAACAACUUUUCUAAGCUUUUAGCAUAUUUUGCCAAAGACAUUUGUUGUUAGAAGUGCUAAGAUAGCCUUAGACCUGUUAGUAAUGAUUGCUUCCAUAUUAUUCAACCAAAGACAUUUGUUGUUUGAAAUGUGUUAGUAAAUGAACAUUCAUCUAGACAUAGAGUUUGUUUAGAAUAGUGUCUAAGCUUAAGGUUGAUAGUUUGAUUGUUCGUCUGUCAUCCUUAGUUCGAAACUUGAUCACCCAAGGUCUAAUUCCUAUGCCCAUGAGUUCUCAUUUUCUUUAGUUAAGAAAGUCAACUCAUUUACCGCUUUUAUUAUUCUGAAACUGAAUUACCUUUAUUCAUUCGCUUAGAAAUCAUUUGAAAUCACUGGUUGCACUUAGAUUGAGUGAGUACUUGCAUUCUCAUUGCUUCGAAUUCUCUUAGAAUUGGUUCGACAAUCAUUUAUACUACAACAUUUGUCUUAGGAGCCUUGAAAACUUCUAACAUCAAAGUUCCUAGGCCUGGGCGUUCGGGUCUUCGGGUCGGGUUCGAGCCGGUUCCUUUCGGGUCCGGAUCUUUCCGGGUCCUAAAUAUAUAGACCCAAUAGGUACUUAGAAAUUUUCGGUUCGGGUUCGGGUCGGUUCUUCUCAGGUCCGGCUCGGUUCUUCUCAGGUCCGGCUCGGUUCGGGUCUAUAAUUAAAAUACUCAUAAAUACCCGUAAUUUUUUGGGCCCAUAUCGGGUCCGGGUCGGGUUCGGGUAUUUUGGAUCUGAAAAGGACAUAAUAUACCCAAUUCCAUCAACUUUAGUUGAAUAUUUGUCACAUAUAUCUAAAAUUUUACAAAACAACUUAAAUGAAACUAUUUAUAAUUAAAAUAAAACAUUUUAAAACUCUAAAUUUUACAUUUUAAAGCUUUAUAUUACUUUAAAAAUGUUAAAAAAUAAUAACAAAUGUUGUUAACAAAAGAUAUUUCAACUAAAUCAUAAAAUAAUAUAUAUAAAAUAGAACACAAAAACAUCAUAGUUUUAGAUAUACAUGUUUUUAAGUCGGGUACAAAUCGGUUCUUAUCGGGUCGGUUCUAUUCGGGUCGGUUCUUUUCGGGUCCGGGUCUAUUCGGAUCGGUUCCUUUUCGGUUCCGGUUCUUUCGGGUAAAAAAAUUUAGACCCAAAAGGUACUUGUAAAUUUUCGGUCCGGUUCCGGGUCGGAUAUUUUUGGGUCGGUUCCGGUUAGGGUCUUCGGGUCCAGGUUAAAAUGCUCAGGCCUAUAAGUUCCUCAUACAUUCCAUUGCCCAGAGUAGUGCUUCCAUCUCUGCAUGAAGAGGAGAGAGACUAGCCCGAACAUUCCUCGCCCCCAUCAGCCCAUCGAACCCUUCUAAAGUAUUGAACCAACCCUGUCUAGAAAAUAUUAUUCUUUUUCCAGGAACCAUCUGUGAAACACCAUCUACCUGGAAUUGACGGUAAAGACGUAAUCUCUACGUGUGAUACUGUCCUCUGUUCAUUCACUAUCUAUGUUUCAGCCCGGAGUGUUGAUUAUGUUUCUGCCAAUUUAAACAUAUCCCUAGGAUCAAUAUCCAGAUUGCUAAAAACUUUAUUCAAUUUUCAAUUAUUCAAUAUAUUUAUUUUUUAAAAUAUGUAAAUGAAGACAAAAUAAAUAACACAUGGACAACUAAUUUGUAUACAUAAUAUUUAUCUCUUACAAGGCACGGAUUAUAAUCUAUUUUUAUAUAGUUUUAUAUAUUUCUGCAUAUAAUAUUACUACACAAAUACUAGAGACAAAUUUAUGUUCCACAUGUUAAUAUUAUUCUGUAAAUACAAACGUGGUAUUCUCACUCCAUCUACAAUUACUUUAAAACUGGAUCAAACCAUAAACACACCAAACCGGUUCACAAUCAUUUCAAUUAAAAUUCGGUUUCUUCAGCAAUUCCUCGUACCACAAUCCAUGGACACUACGCGAAACGUUCGCCACAAGAACCAGAAUGUCUGAAACCUCUAUAACCUUGUCCGAGAGAGAAGCUGCUCCGAUUCUUCUUAGCAUUGUUUCCACCAAUUGCUUUCUCUUCGUGUUGUUACCCGCCAUAACUGCGGCUCGUGUCGCUAGGUAUAUGGUCUGUGACACACGUGUGAACACUGGGUCUCCCGCCUGUAAGCUUUUCACAAGCAUGUUUGCAAUCACUUGUUUCUUCGUCUCUGCAUCGUCAGAAUCAAGAAGCUCGGAGAAGGUUUCCAUGAUUUCUGAAAGACCCGCAUCGGGUUUCGCAUCUAACAUCUCGUAGAGUCGGUUAAUGCAGGUCCAUGUAAUGGUCUCCACGUCAGAUGCUUUAUGGCUUGCAAGUGUUUGCUGAAGGAUCAACACACUGCAAGAAAUACACAGCAGGUAAUAAAAGAGAUUAUACUCUGUGAUUGAGAGAGAGGCUAUCAAGAGGUAAGUUUUGUCACUACUGACCUGAUGGAGACUAGAAUGAUUUUCUGGAUUUGGGAUUGAAUAGCUCUCAGCCUGGUGAGGUUGAGUCGAAAUGUUUCGGGGAUAGUUUCUAAAGUAAGACCCCCAAUUUCGCUCACCAUUUUUAAGAGGCCAAGACGAACAAGAAGAUCCACAGUUUCUCCUUUGCACUCUGACAGUUCAAUACCUGCAAUAGAACAUCACCAGCGUGUGCACAUAAAUCAACAAAUGAGUACAGAGCUGGAUUCAUCGAAAUAUCAUGGGCACAUAGUUUAGAACCCUUCAACAGCCACAUACAAUGUUGAUACCUUGUUAAGAUGAAAUAUAUCCAUUUAAUUUGGGGAAACAAAGUUUGGGGUCUACAGGUGAAAUUAACCACUUGGUUUGAGUUCAGCUGAACUGGGUUCUUCCCAAAGAUACUAUAAAGAUGAGUAAGUUGAUAGAUUGAGACCAAACCUGGAAAUGGCGACGAAGGGGCAUUGACUUUUGAGACAGAGGGGACAUUGCCCCCAGUUCGCAUGGUGGUUGAAGGGAGGCCUGAUGAUCCAGGGUUGUUAUUUGUGACAGCAGAAAGAGCAUCUUUAUGUUCAUCCCACUCCUUCUCCGCCUCUCCACGAACACUAAAAAGCCAACGCUUUGUCAACGGCAGAGAGGAAGCAGCUUGGUCUGGGGAACCAUACCGACUGGAAAAUGACUUCUUUAGAUAUUCCAGACCAGCAGGUCCCUUGAGAAGUGGCUCCAAGAGUUUCAAACGAGAUUUGCUGAUUUCCUUCUUCAGAAUCUGUAAUAAGAGGACAUGAAAAAAGUAUUAUCAAAUUAGACAUCAUCUGUUUCAUUCCGGGUUUUUAACGCUAUUAUGCUUAUAUAUAUGGUGGUUAAUGGUUAUGCCUAUGUAGAGAGCUAAGAAACGAUUAACUAUUAUGUCCACAAAAUAGAACAAAUAAAUUGGCAAACCUGGAUCUGCUGCAAAACAAAGCGUAAUCCCUUGACCAUUAAAACUGCAUAUGACGAAUUGGACUGGUCUUCAGUUGGAACUAUCUCUCCAAGUUCUGUCAUUAAUUUAUGGUGCGUACUCCUGAUUUCCUCUUCGUUAGCUGGAGCCGAGAGUUUCAGCAAAAUGCCAAGGGAGAACUCUAGAAUAUUUCCAAGAUAACCCAUGUCGACAUUUCCCGCAGCCAGUAACUGAAUCAUGCCAUGAAAAAAUAUACAUAUAAGUUCAUAUCGUAUUUGUUAUAGCAACAGUUGAGUUAAGGCUGCGGUAAUAAGCACCUGUGACAGCACAUCUGUAUCGAUAGUUUGAACAAUCUCUUGUCUCCAAUCUUUGGGAGAUAUCUCACAGAGUUCAUCCCUAACUUCGUUCAUGAGUUUAAUAACCCAGCUGAAAUCUGGCUGUGACUGUUUCAUGGACUCCAUGACGCCAUCCCAAAAGGCCUUUUCCAUUGUCUCCUUAACCUUCACCUGUAAGUGAAGAAAUAUGAGUUCAGCUGAUAAAAUAAUAGUUCACAGCUUUAUGGAAUCGGAAUAUGUAUAACAGCUUUAUGGAGUACAUACCUGAAGGUUGUUUAAAUCCCCGGUGCCAGCAUCGAAGCUAUCAGCAAAAGUACUGCUAUUUUCAUGGACAAUUUCAUUUACGAUUACUUCGUUCUCACUAGCCAACGUUGCAUCUAAACCUGUCACAUUUGGAGGAGAAAAACCCUCAAUUCCUGCUAGAAGAAUGUCGUGUCAGAUGAAGACAUGUUGUAUAACCUGUGAGCUUUUAAAGGUUACUGAUUGAUAAUAUUACCAGAGUUCAAAGACGGAGAAGAACUCGAUGACCCAGGAGAAGAUGAAGAUUGACGAAGCGAAUCUGCAGAUGCUUUAGAUUCUCCUACUUCACCACCAUCAAUUUCAGUGAGUAUGGCCCGAACGGUUGGAGACGAUACCUUCAGCUGAAAAACAAAAAGAAGAGUCAUUCUCCCGAUCAAGCUUUCGAACUUCCAUGGUUCAUGUAGACAGAAUCUUGUUAAGGUAAAAUGGAAAGGAGAGUAACAUAACAUACCGGCUUCUGAUUUAAAGAAGUGUGUUUGGACCCCUCAGGGAGCUCUGGCUUUUGAGUUUUGGCUAACUCGUUUUCUAAGAGCUUAGCAUCGUUAAUCUUCCAAACAACAAAUCCUUCCAGGUAAGAGCACCAAGUUUCAUCAAAUGCUUCUAACUGAGAUUUGAACUUUUUUGGACCUGGAGUUAACAGAGAUACAUUGUCGCCUGGUCCGUCCAAUAUAAUCUUCACUAACAAUUCAAACUCUCGAAUAAGAGAGUUUGCAGAAUCCACCAGCGCAAUUUCAUGUUCACCUCUUCCUCUAAAAAUUGCAUCUGGAUGUUGUUUGAUCAUGUAGGCACAAAGAAAUAUUCUAGCUGGGUAUCUCGCAAUCUUCUUGAGAUUUUCAUGUCCCAUCUUCUUGAAAUUAGGUGACCUUUGCUCGCUUUGACUCACAGAACUAGGCGAGUUUCCUCUUCGAGCUGGUGGAAAGAUAUGCUUAAGAAGAUGAUUAAUAUUCUUCACAGUAGAUCCCUGAGAUAGAGUGAGUCGGAUCUCCAAACGAUCAAGCAGCUCUUUCACUGUUCGAAUUACAGCAACAGAGUUCAUCUGAAUGGCCAACUGCUCAAACGGCACUGACUCAAUCGACUUUGCAUCAAUCCCCAGAUCACGAUAGGCGCUAGCCAAGAGAAUAGUAGAUUUCUUGUACUUUGCAAAUCUCCUCCAGCACCUGAGAAUAUUUAAGACGACAAUCAGACAACCAUCAAGCUAAAACAGUGAAACAUCUUAGAGGCUUUUAAAGGGCAACAUAAAACCUUUCUAACAUCCUCACAAGGUGUGCUUGCUUCUUUCGCAUUGUUUCUGAUCUCUGACGUGCACCGUCAACGCCUCUCCCUCGCCUCAGAUACUGUGCUUUCAGCUUCUUGGCCUAACAAAUGCCAAAAACCAAUGAUGACAAAAUCAUGGCCAAUUACACAAACAAUGAUAAAAGGUUGAGCCUUUAAGCAUACCCUUUGAAGUCGUUCUUCUAAACGAUCCUUCAUUUUCCUUCUUUCAGCUUCCUUUUGACUCUGCACAGAACUAGCAGCUCCAAAAACCUGUCUCAACCUCGUGUUGGCUCUCCUCCUCUCGGCUUCAAGAAUCCCCAUCCGUUUACUCUCCGCAGCUGCUCUUUUCUGAUAAAUAGCCGCACGCACACUUUCCUUGUACCUAUUAUCCUGAAUUGCUCUCUGCAUCAAGCUCUGUGCAGCUCGCUGUCUCUUUGCCGCUCUCCUUUGCGCCAUGGCUUUAAAGAGGAGCAUCCUGUUCUUCUCAGCUUUUUGAACCCUUUCUUCAACCUUUGUCUCCAACUCAUCACGCUGCUUCUCAACUCUUUGCAGAAGCCCGUUCUUUGCAGCUUGUCUUGCUUCAUCUAGCUUCGCUAAACGAGCUAAAUCCUUCUCCAGAAUGCUUAACCUGAAGCAUUACAUCAUAUCAAAUAUUGAAUAUCCCUCGCAUUAAUUUCCAAAUAAAAAUCUCUUUACCUCUUUUGUUCAGCAGCAUUAAGCUUUGAUUGGAGUCUCUGGCUAAGCUCCUCAAUAGGUGCCGAUCUCGGGCUUCUCGUCUUAGGUCGUGCCUUGGUCGACAGUGAUUCAUAGUAAUGCUACAAACGAACAACAAAAGUGUUUAAACUGAGACUGUCAAUAAACUAGUAAAGAGAAGAGACGAGUUCUCGUCGGUGGGUCAAGACAAAGACGUGUUUUAUUAGAUCAGUGAGUCGAAACCGAGUUACAAAAAAGGGGAGAAAACAGAGGUAAGAGUCCGGCGAAGACAAGUUCGUCGGACCGUACAAGUCGGCGAGAUGUAAGAUGUAAAACCCUAAUUCUAGCCGAAAGUGAGUGUAGUAAUUUGCGGAUCCCCUCCUUGUUGCCUUCUUUCCUCCUUUUAUAGGUGAACAUUCGUUGACCUAAUGUGUCUUGUCUCGAUGGGCCUCCUCGAGUAAUUGGGCCGACUCGUCGGGCCGUUGUGUCAGGNNNN